GCACUACAACGGGUGGAGCCUGCGGUUUAAUUGGAUUCAACGCCGGAAAACUCACCGGGUGCGACAGCAAUAUGCAGGUCAGGCUGAAGGUCUUACCUGAAUCGCUGAGAGGAGGUGCAUGGCCGUCGUCAGUUCGUACUGUGAAGCAUCCUGUUAAGUCAGGCAACGAGCGAGACCCGCGCCCACAGUUGCCAGCAUGUUCUCCGGAACGAUGGGUACACUGUGGGGACCGCCGCUGCUAAAGCGGAGGAAGGAACGGGCUACGGUAGGUCAGUAUGCCCCGAAUCUCCCGGGCUACACGCGGGCUACAAUGGUUGGGACAAUGGGCACCUACCCUGAAAAGGGACGGUAAUCUCCUAAACCCAACCGUAGUUCGGAUUGAGGGCUGUAACUCGCCCUCAUGAAGCUGGAAUCCGUAGUAAUCGCGUUUCAACAUAGCGCGGUGAAUACGUCCCUGCUCCUUGCACACACCGCCCGUCAAACCAUGCGAGUGAGGUCUGGGUGAGGGCAUGUUUAUGACAUGUUCGAACCUGGGCUUCGCAAGUGGGGUU
rnacentral:rRNA from 1 species